GCCUGUUGAAUAAUAAAAAAGUGAUUUGUUAAAAUAAGUGGUGAAUUUGGUUAGCUGUUAUCUGUGGGCUUAUAAUUCAUUGUUCAUAGCCAAUAGAUAUUUGUGAAAAUGUUUGCAAAUCUUAAAAGUUUCCCUGAUUACUCAGCUGCAAAUUUGUGCCAGAAGCACAUUAAUCACUAUUUAUAUGUCGUCUUCUUGUUUUAAAUGAUUCAGUCAUCCAAUCAGGGAGCAUAAACUCUGCCAUGAUCACCCUCUGGGACCACAAUUCUCACUGGUUCUUCUCUCAGAAAUCUACCUAAAAGGCAAAGUUUGUAUGGCGAUAAGGCUUUCUUAGGGGAUGGCUCAGGAAUAGACUGGAAUCAUCUCCCACAGCAACUACCACAACCAAUUCAAAAGCAGGGUGCAUUUUUUUCAAUCUCAUUUUCCCUAAGGGGAAAAAAAUACCUAACACAUUAAUUUAUUAAAGAAAUACAAACAAAAUCUAUACCCACAAUAUCAAUACAAUUUUCCUUGGAGAAGAGGGGAUCAGAGGGGGAUGGAGAUCAACCUUUAGCCCCUUUAUUAAAUUUUCUGAUCCUGGAAGGUUCUCGGAUAACAUGCUGAUGAGCACAAUAUAAGAAACUGCCUGUGGUAAAUUGAGAAAACACCCACACAUGGAUAAUUGUUACCAGAAUAAUCAGAAUAAAAAAUAGAAUUACAACAGUUAUAGUUUAUUAAUGUGAACAAGAAUAAUUAGGUAUGAUUGAGAAAAUACAGACGCAUAUUCAACUAAUAUACUGUAUUAGACUCAAUCAUGUAAACCCUAACUAUUAGGCAUAGUGUGUCAUAGUAAGGGUUUGCAAGAUCACAGACCCUUAGGAGUUUAAAAUAUUAGGUUUCUAGGCUUCUUUUCCUGUUACCUAGUAAUUUAAAAUUCUGUUUGUGAAAGUGAAAGAAGAUGAGGACAGGUGGAGAUCUGUUCUGUAAGCUGCCACCUGAAAUGAAUUGGUUUGGUUUUGUUCGGGGUUGUUCUUUUUUUUUUUUGCCUGUGAAAAGCAAGCAUAAUUUAAAUAUUUCUUUUUUCUUUAAAACUUUCAACAGGGACUACAUAGCAGGCUGUGAAAACAACUGAGGAAUCUGAACCCACUAAAAAUGGCCCUGUUGUAGUUGUGAUGGAUUCCCCGCAGGGUGCCACUUGGAACUGGGAUACCACUGAACCCGUCUGACCUAUCACCCUGGGCUCCCCUUUCACACUGUGGCGCUGUGAUAAAUUACCACGCUCUCCAAGCUUCUUCUUUCACCAGCAUACAGGAAAAUUUUAAAAAAGAGGGGUGAGGACGGGAUGAAAAUGUUUAAAAGCAUGGAAAGACAUCCAUCUGAAGAGAAAUUGAAAAGAUGGACUGUUCAGUGAAGAGAUGAGAUCAGUAAACAGAUGUGAGAAAGAUGUAUGCACGCCCAGGCAAUGCGGGUGGAAUGGGAACUGCUAUUUUUUUUUUGAUCAAAUCUGGAUUUUGCAAUUAGAAAAAUGUACUCUCUCAAGGCAAAGGUUUAAUCAAACAUGAAAACUGCUUAGUACACUUGAAUGUAAUGGCUGAUUGGGCUGAACCAAGGAAAGGAGAAGCUACAGAACCUUGGCCUCACCAUGAUGAAAUUCUGCUCCCUGAUCAGACCUGACAUGAACAGAUCAAAAUAGAUGUUCCUGAUGGCAAACUGAACUGAUAUACAACAGCCGAUAUACGGCACAGCUAUAUUAAUGUGUAAUCAUCCAUAGG